rnacentral:rRNA from 1 species
AUUGAACGCUGGCGGCAGGCCUAACACAUGCAAGUCGAGCGGAUGAAGGGAGCUUGCUCCUGGAUUCAGCGGCGGACGGGUGAGUAAUGCCUAGGAAUCUGCCUGGUAGUGGGGGAUAACGUCCGGAAACGGGCGCUAAUACCGCAUACGUCCUGAGGGAGAAAGUGGGGGAUCUUCGGACCUCACGCUAUCAGAUGAGCCUAGGUCGGAUUAGCUAGUUGGUGGGGUAAAGGCCUACCAAGGCGACGAUCCGUAACUGGUCUGAGAGGAUGAUCAGCCACACUGGAACUGAGACACGGUCCAGACUCCUACGGGAGGCAGCAGUGGGGAAUAUUGGACAAUGGGCGCAAGCCUGAUCCAGCCAUGCCGCGUGUGUGAAGAAGGUCUUCGGAUUGUAAAGCACUUUAAGUUGGGAGGAAGGGCAGUAAGUUAAUACCUUGCUGUUUUGACGUUACCAGCAGAAUAAGCACCGGCUAACUUCGUG